GACGUAGGGCGCGAGCGUUGUCCGGAUUUAUUGGGCGUAAAGAGCUCGUAGGCGGCUCAUUGCGUCGUCGGUGAAAACCCGUGGCUUAACUGCGGGCUUGCAGCUGAUACGGGCAGGCUUGAGUUCGGUAGGGGAGACUGGAAUUCCUGGUGUAGCGGUGAAAUGCGCAGAUAUCAGGAGGAACACCGGUGGCGAAGGCGGGUCUCUGGGCCGAUACUGACGCUGAGGAGCGAAAGCGUGGGGAGCGAACAGG
rnacentral:rRNA from 1 species